UACGAAGGUGGCGAGCGUUACUCGGAAUUACUAGGCGUAAAGGGCAGGUAGGUGGUCCGAUAAGUCUGUUGUGGAAGCCUCCGGCUUAACCGGGGGAGGUCAACAGAAACUAUCAGACUUGAGUAUAGGAGAGGGUACUGGAAUUCCCGGAGUAGCGGUGAAAUGCGCAGAGAUCGGGAGGAACACCGAUGGCGAAAGCAGGUACCUGGACUAUUACUGACACUAAGCUGCGAAAGCUAGGGGAGCAAACAGG
rnacentral:misc_RNA from 1 species